rnacentral:rRNA from 1 species
AGACGGAGGGUGCAAGCGUUGUUCGGAAUCACUGGGCGUAAAGCGCGUGUAGGCGGUUCGAUAAGUCGAAUGUGAAAGCCCGAGGCUCAACCUCGGAAGUGCAUUCGAAACUGUCGGGCUUGAGUACGGGAGAGGGAAGUGGAAUUCCUGGUGUAGAGGUGAAAUUCGUAGAUAUCAGGAGGAACACCGGUGGCGAAGGCGGCUUCCUGGACCGAUACUGACGCUGAGACGCGAAAGCGUGGGGAGCAAACAGGAUUAGAUACCCUGGUAGUCCACGCCGUAAACGGUGAGCACUAGGUGUAGCGGGUAUUGACCCCUGCUGUGCCGCAGCUAACGCAUUAAGUGCUCCGCCUGGGGAGUACGGUCGCAAGAUUAAA